rnacentral:lncRNA from 1 species
GUGGAAUUAAGAGAUUUUGGCUCAAGGAGAUUGUCAUCAAGAUUGGAAAAGGAGGCAGGCUAAUACCCAAGCAGAUUUUAGGAUUUAUCAUCUAUUUGGUAUGUGCAAUUUUUUUCAAUUUUUUUAUGAUUGUUGAUAAUUUAAUUAUUAUAAGGUAUACAAAGUUUGAGUCAAAGUCAAUAGUUUAAUUAUUUGUUAUUGAAUUUAUUUGUUAUAGAGUUAUUAAGAAUUUUGUUUAAGAUUUAGGAUUUGAUUAAAAGAUUGAUUAGGAUUGAUUAGGAUCUAAGAUUUGAUUAGGAUUUGAUUAAGGUUUAGGAUUUAUUUAUGGUUUGAUUAGGAUUUAGGAUUUUUCUUGAUUUGAUUAAGAUUUAAUUAGAAUUUUACUAGAAUUUUGUUAGAAUUUGUCUAACGUUUGUCUAGAAUUUGAUUAUGGUUGAUUAGGAUUGGUCUAGGAUUUAGGAUUUCAUUAGGUUUUUAUUAGGAUUUGAUCUAGGAUUUAGUUAAGGUUGAAUUAGGAUAUCAAUUAGAGUUUAAUUUAAGAUUUUAUUAAGAUUUAUUAAGAUUUUAAUUAGGAUUAAAUUAAGAUUUUAUUAGAAUUUAUUUAAGAUUUACGUA